ACCGUUUGCGCCUGCGCGCUGCUGGGCCUCGUGUUCCCUAUACCGGGGUCGGGGACCCCCACUGUGCUCGGACCAGGAGACAUGAAGGUCACAGAGUCUCCUGCAAGGCCCCUUCCCUCCCGCCGGGAUCGACUGUGACAGAGUUCAGGGCUGGUGGAGUUGCGAGAGGCCAGCCUGGGGGCGAGGCUGGCAGCCAAGAACUGCGAAAGCAAAGCGAUCCAGGCUGUGUCUCCAGGGCCUCUAGCGGCCAACCCUCGGCCAGGACAGCCACCAGGCCUGGACAGGAGACAGGAGGCACGGGCCUUACAGCACGCAGGAUGUAGUCCCGGAAGACAGGAAGAUGGAUGCGAUGGCACAGCUGGAGCAGGUGGGGCCGGAGGCCAGGCAAGAGGCAGGAAAAGCCCCUGGUCUCUGUGCUGAGGGUGCUGAAGACCCCAAGGACCUGGACCCCAAGAGCGUGGGAGCGCCACCAAGAGAUUCAGCCCCAAUCUGUUCAAUCCAGGGAUCCCAGGACUGCCUCCCUCCCAAUUGGCAUCAGGAAGCAGAGAGCCAGUCCGGGAGUUCUCAGGGCUUCAAGGACUCAGCCAGGCCCAGAAAGGAGAAGAUCCUUUGCAGGAGGGCAGACACUUGGAGGCCCCCGGUGGAGGUGAUUGGAGGAGGCUGGCCUUCUGUAGAAGGGAGUCACACAGGGACCACUGUGGCUCUGAUAUUACCGUCUUUUGUUUUAAUCUCCUGGCCCUGACCCCUGAUCUGGGUUCUGCCCUGGUUCGGCCCCUUCUGCUGACCAGCACAACAGACCAUCAUGAUCAGGAGCCCCACAAGGAAAGUAUAACCACUACUUGGGCACACAGGACUCUCACCAGUAGGACAAGAGGAGGGAUCAGGGAUGUGGCGGAGUGUCUAAGGGUGAGGAAGCUGUUUGGAAUUUGUGAAGGUUGGGACUGGCUCCCUGUGGCUUGCAGGGCAGGCAGAUGUCUGUGUCAGUGGGGGUCGCCUUGUGUGUGUGUACCUUGAGUAACAGGGUUCCUCAUUUGUCACCUGGAUAUGGCCCCUAAGGGGUAGAGGACCUGUAGGAGGGUUUGUUACCUAAAGCUAGCUCAGGCCUCUGUGGGGAGACCUCCAGAGGGAAGGGCUUUGUGGGAAAGGCUAAAGAUUGGAAAGCCCCUCCAAGAGAGAGCCCAGUUGGCUCUGAGCACGCCCUCCAAGUGGGCUGGGGCCUGUCCUCACCGUGAUUAUGAGUGUGCUCAACGGAGCCAGCUCGUUUCCAGGUCAGGGAAACUCACCUAUCUUGUUGUUGUUUGGCGGUGCCUCGCCUUGUAGAUACUUAGUUCCCUGACCAGGGACUGAACCUGGACCCUGGGCACAGAGAUCUGGAGUCCUAACUGCUGGACUGCCAGGGACUUUCCAGAAUGUGACUUUUUCUGUUUAAAUUUUACUAUUCUUUUAAUGGAAGUAUAAUUGUUUUACAGUAGCGUGUUGUUGUCGGAGAGGCAGUGUUGUCAUCACUAAGUGCUGUCAGACUCUUUGUGACCCACGGACUGCAGGGCUGCAAUCUCCCCUGUCCUCCACCAUCUCCCCGAGUUUGCUCAAAUUCAUGUGCAUUGAGUCGGUGAUGCCGUCCUGCCACCUCGUCCUCUGUUGUCCCCUUCUCCUUUUGCCUUCAAUCUUUCUCAGCAUCAGGGUGUUUUCCAGUGAGUCAGCUCUUUACCUCAGGUGGCCAAAGUACUGGAGUUUCAGCUUUAGCAUCACUCCUUUGAAUGAAUAUUCAGGGUUCUUCCGUUAGGAUUGAGUAGUUUAAUCUGUAUGCAGUCCAAAGGACUCUCAGGAGUCUUCUCCAGCACCACAGUUUGAAAGCAUCAAUUUUUCAGUGCUCAGCCUUCUUUAUGGUGCAACCUUCAAAUCCAUCCAUGACUAUCGGAAAAAAACAUAGCUUUGAAUAUAUGCUCCUUUGUCCAAAUGUGAUGUUUCUGCUUUGUCAUAGGCUGUCUAGGUUUGUCAAGUUUUCCUUCCAAGGAGCAGCAGCACCUUUUAAUUUCACAGCUAUACUCACUAUUCUCAGUGAUUUUGGAGCCCAAGAAAAUAAAGUGCCACUGUUUCCACUCUUUCCCCUUCUGUUUGGCAUGAGUGCUGGGAUUGGAUACCAUGAUCUUAAGUUUUUUGAAUGUUGACUUUUAAGUCAGCUUUCGCUCACCUCUUUCACUUUCAUCAAGUGGCUCUUUCAGUUCAAUUCAGUCGCUCAGUCGUGUCCGACUCUUUGCGACCCCAUGAAUCGCAGCACGCCAGGCCUCCCUGUCCAUCACCAACUCCCGGAGUUCACUCAGACUCACGUCCAUCGAGUCAGUGAUGCCAUCCAGCCAUCUCAUCCUCUGUCGUCCCCUUCUCCUCCUGCCCCCAAUCCCUCCCAGCAUCAGAGUCUUUUCCAAUGAGUCAACUCUUCGCAUGAGGUGGCCAAAGUAUUAGAGUUUCAGCUUCAACAUCAAUCCUUUCAAUAAACACCCAGGACUGAUCUCCUUUAGAAUGGACUGGUUGGAUCUCCUUGCAGUCCAAGAGACUCUCAAGAGUCUUCUCCAACACCACAGUUCAAAAGCAUCGAUUCUUCGGCACUCAGCUUUCUUUACAGUCCAACUCUCACAUCCAUACAUGACCACAGGAAAAAUCAUAGCCUUGACUAGACGGACCUUAGUCGGCAAAGGAAUGUCUCUGCUUUUGAAUAUACUAUCUAGGUUGGUCAUAACUUUUCUUCCAAGGAGUAAGAGUCUUUUAAUUUCAUGGCUGUAAUCACCAUCUGCAGUGAUUUUGGAGCCCAAACAAAUAAAGUCUGACACUGUUUCCAUUGUUUCCCCAUCUAUUUCCCAUGAAGUGUUGGGAUCAGACGCCAUGACCUUCGUUUUCUGAAUGUUGAGCUUUAGGCCAACUUUUUCACUCUUCUCUUUCACUUUCAUCAGGAGGCUUUUUGGUUCCUCUUCACUUUCUGCCAUAAUGGUGGUGUCAUCUGCAUAUCUGAGGUUAUUGAUAUUUCUCCCGGCAAUCUUGAUUCCAGCUUGUGUUUCCUCCAGUCCAGCGUUUCUCACGAUGUACUCUGCAUAGAAGGUAAAUAAGCAGGUGACAAUAUACUGCUUUGACGUACUCCUUUUCCUAGUUGGAACCAGUCUGUCUUUAUUUUCUGCUUUUAGGGUCAUUUGCUAUCAUUUGCCUAUGUGAGGUUGUUGAUAUUUCUCCCAGCAAUCUUGAUUACAGCUUGUGAUUCAUCCAGCCUGGAAUAUUGCAUAAUGUACUCUGCAUAGAAGUUAAACCAGUGGGGUGACAGUAUACAGCCUUGACAGACUCCUUUUCCAAGUUUGAGCGAAUCCGUUGUUCCCUGCCCCUUGUUAGUUUCUGCGGUGCGUGUGGGCUAAGUCGCUUCAGUCGUGUCUGACUCUUUGCUACUCUAGGGACUAUAGGCCACCAGAUUCCUCAGUCCAUG
rnacentral:lncRNA from 1 species